GUGGGGAAUAUUGGACAAUGGGCGCAAGCCUGAUCCAGCCAUGCCGCGUGAGUGAUGAAGGCCCUAGGGUUGUAAAGCUCUUUCACCGGUGAAGAUAAUGACGGUAACCGGAGAAGAAGCCCCGGCUAACUUCGUGCCAGCAGCCGCGGUAAUACGAAGGGGGCUAGCGUUGUUCGGAAUUACUGGGCGUAAAGCGCACGUAGGCGGACAUUUAAGUCAGGGGUGAAAUCCCGGGGCUCAACCCCGGAACUGCCUUUGAUACUGGGUGUCUGGAGUAUGGAAGAGGUAAGUGGAAUUCCGAGUGUAGAGGUGAAAUUCGUAGAUAUUCGGAGGAACACCAGUGGCGAAGGCGGCUUACUGGCCCAAUACUGACGCUGAGGCGCGAAAGCGUGGGGAGCAAACAGGAUUAGAAACCCUGGUAGUCC
rnacentral:rRNA from 1 species